GAAUUCUGAGUCGGAGAGGGUUCCGACUGCCUUAGGAUUGAGACAGACUCCUGUUAAUCUGAUAAAGGCUAUUCAAUUUGUCAUCUCAUCUGCUAUUGUCUGGAUACUUGGUGAGUCGAGAAAAUUAGUACGAAAAUGUCGGAAUUUUAGAAGACUUGCUAUACAAGAAUCGACUAAUGACAGACGCAAUGGAGGCUGACUUCCGUAAUUAUCUGCUGGUGCAAUUAGAGUUUCAACAAGGAUAACGCUGGAUCCGAGAUGCGUUACGCCAGUACGGGACUUUUACAAAUGGUUGUUGGUUCUUUCAUUACUGAAUGCAUAUAAGAAUCUACUGCAAGCUGCUAGGAAGGAGGAACCUGACCAGAUAAGUUACUUCAGGAAUCUGUUAUUUCUGUAAACCCAAGCUUGUUUGCUCUUCCCGAACAGAUCAGAAAGUUUCUUCAGAAAAUACAGCCCGGAAGAGCCCAAGGAAUUGAAUUU